GAAUUGCCAGCUGAGUUGGACAAAGACAAAACUAAGGAAGAAUCUAACAACCAAGAUCUGCAAAUGCUUCUACACUACCAUGUAUGGUAUUUCAAAGCAACAUGAAAAAAGAAAAAAAGAAACAAAACAGGAAGAACAGAUGAGACCUGGUGGCUCAGUGGUUAAAUACCUGCAGCUCAGCCAUGUCAGAGGAGUCUUCAGUCAGCAUCACACACGAUGGGUAGAAAUCUAAGGAGCCCUGGUGGCACAGUGAUUAGAUACCAGUACUUCAGCCAUAAUGUUGUGACUUCAGACCUGAAGGGCUUCAAGGUCAACUCAGUCUU